AGGGGUAUAACUCAGCGGUAGAGUGUCGCUUUGACGUGGCGGGAGUCAUCGGUUCGAGCCUGAUUAUCCCCU
rnacentral:tRNA from 1 species